rnacentral:rRNA from 1 species
AGAGUUUGAUCCUGGCUCAGGACGAACGCUGGCGGCGUGCCUAAUACAUGCAAGUCGAGCGGACCAAACAGGAGCUUGCUCUUGUUUGGUUAGCGGCGGACGGGUGAGUAACACGUGGGUAACCUGCCCGUAAGACCGGGAUAACUCCGGGAAACCGGAGCUAAUACCGGAUAACACCGAAGACCGCAUGGUCUUUGGUUGAAAGGCGGCUUCGGCUGCCACUUACGGAUGGGCCCGCGGCGCAUUAGCUAGUUGGUGAGGUAACGGCUCACCAAGGCGACGAUGCGUAGCCGGCCUGAGAGGGUGACCGGCCACACUGGGACUGAGACACGGCCCAGACUCCUACGGGAGGCAGCAGUAGGGAAUCUUCCGCAAUGGACGAAAGUCUGACGGAGCGACGCCGCGUGAGCGAAGAAGGUCUUCGGAUCGUAAAGCUCUGUUGUUAGGGAAGAAGAAGCGCCGUUCGAACAGGGCGGCGCGGUGACGGUACCUAACGAGAAAGCCCCGGCUAACUACGUGCCAGCAGCCGCGGUAAU